rnacentral:lncRNA from 1 species
GCGCAGCGCCCGCCCGCCCCGCGCGUCCCUCAGCGGUCACCUGCUCCGGGGGGCUCCGCGCUCGGCGCCUGCUCCGCGGGCCGCGGGAAGGCGGCGGCGGCGGCGGGGGCGGCCCCCAGCCCCAGCAGGGCUAAUGGAAUGAGUCAUCGACAGGGUGGAUUAUUUAAAGCGCCAUGUGAGUCUAUAAUCAUGUAUAUAUACAAGUUAUUAUAUAUUGGAAACCUGUCUGCUCCGCUCCCCAGCCCCUUAUAAUCCUCCGAGCAGGAACCGGGCGGUCCCCGUGUGGAAAUUUAGAAAAGAAAAAUCAGUAAUGCUCUUAGCAUCAAACAAUAAAUCCUGGAGUUAUUUGCCACCACAUUUAAUUAAAUAUUUUGAAAAGAAAACCCCCGUGAUUGAUUCUCCUUCCGCAUUGAUCCGCCAUCGAUCCGCGGCGCUCCGCCCGCCCGGCUGCGGCUGUGCUGCGGGGCCGCGAGCAGCGCCUUCGGAAUCGC